AUGUUCCAGGAGUUGAAGUUAAUAUUUCAAGCAAAUGCCCAAGUUGAGAGAUAUGAAGUCUCCAACAAGUUCUAUAGCUGCAAAAUGGAGGAGAAUAGUUCUGUCAGUGAACACAUACUCAGAAUGUCUGGGUACCAUAACCACUUGACUCAGCUGGGAGUUAAUCUUCUUGAUGAUAGUGUCAUUGACAGAGUUCUUCAAUCACUGCCACCAAACUAUAAAGGCUUCGUGAUGAACUAUAAUAUGCAAGGGAUGGAAAAGACAAUUCCCGAGCUCUUUGCGAUGUUAAAGGAUGCGGAGGUAGAAAUAAAGAAGGAGAGCGUCAAGUGUUGA
rnacentral:rRNA from 1 species